rnacentral:tRNA from 1 species
ACCUAAAUAGUUUAAAUAAAAUGUUAGCUUGUGGCGCUUAAGAUGUAUGUAAGUACUUUGGGUA